ACGAACGCUGGCGGCGUGGAUAAGACAUGCAAGUCGAACGGGAGAAUUGCUAGCUUGCUAAUAAUUCUCUAGUGGCGCACGGGUGAGUAACACGUGAGUAACCUGCCUCUUAGUGGGGGAUAGCCCUGGGAAACCGGGAUUAAUACCGCAUACGAUUGAAAGAUCAAAGCAGCAAUGCGCUAGGAGAUGGGCUCGCGGCCUAUUAGUUAGUUGGUGAGGUAACGGCUCACCAAGGCGAUGACGGGUAGCCAGUCUGAGAGGAUGUCCGGCCACACUGGAACUGAGACACGGUCCAGACACCUACGGGUGGCAGCAGUCGAGAAUCAUUCACAAUGGGGGCAACCCUGAUGGUGCGACGCCGCGUGGGGGAAUGAAGGUCUUCGGAUUGUAAACCCCUGUCAUGUGGGAGCAAAUUAAAAAGAUAGUACCACAAGAGGAAGAGACGGCUAACUCUGUGCCAGCAGCCGCGGUAAUACAGAGGUCUCAAGCGUUGUUCGGAAUCACUGGGCGUAAAGCGUGCGUAGGCUGUUUCGUAAGUCGUGUGUGAAAGGCAGGGGCUCAACCCCUGGAUUGCACAUGAUACUGCGAGACUAGAGUAAUGGAGGGGGAACCGGAAUUCUCGGUGUAGCAGUGAAAUGCGUAGAUAUCGAGAGGAACACUCGUGGCGAAGGCGGGUUCCUGGACAUUAACUGACGCUGAGGCACGAAGGCCAGGGGAGCGAAAGGGAUUAGAUACCCCUGUAGUCCUGGCAGUAAACGGUGCACGCUUGGUGUGCGGGGAAUCGACCCCCUGCGUGCCGGAGCUAACGCGUUAAGCGUGCCGCCUGGGGAGUACGGUCGCAAGAUUAAAACUCAAAGAAAUUGACGGGGACCCGCACAAGCGGUGGAGUAUGUGGCUUAAUUCGAUGCAACGCGAAGAACCUUACCUGGGCUUGACAUGUAAUGAACAACAUGUGAAAGCAUGCGACUCUUCGGAGGCGUUACACAGGUGCUGCAUGGCCGUCGUCAGCUCGUGUCGUGAGAUGUUUGGUUAAGUCCAGCAACGAGCGCAACCCCUGUUGCCAGUUACCAGCACGUCAAGGUGGGGACUCUGGCGAGACUGCCCAGAUCAACUGGGAGGAAGGUGGGGACGACGUCAGGUCAGUAUGGCCCUUAUGCCCAGGGCUGCACACGUACUACAAUGCCCAGUACAGAGGGGGCCGAAGCCGCGAGGCGGAGGAAAUCCUGAAAACUGGGCCCAGUUCGGACUGUAGGCUGCAACCCGCCUACACGAAGCCGGAAUCGCUAGUAAUGGCGCAUCAGCUACGGCGCCGUGAAUACGUUCCCGGGUCUUGUACACACCGCCCGUCACAUCAUGGAAGCCGGUCGCACCCGAAGUAUCUGAAGCCAACCGCAAGGAGGCAGGGUCCUAAGGUGAGACUGGUAACUGGGAUG
rnacentral:rRNA from 1 species